rnacentral:rRNA from 1 species
AACGAACGCUGGCGGCAUGCCUAACACAUGCAAGUCGAACGAGACCUUCGGGUCUAGUGGCGCACGGGUGCGUAACGCGUGGGAAUCUGCCCUUGGGUUCGGCAUAACAGGUAGAAAUGACUGCUUAUACCGGAUGAUGACUUCGGUCCAAAGAUUUAUCGCCCAAGGAUGAGCCCGCGUAGGAUUAGCUAGUUGGUAGGGUAAAGGCCUACCAAGGCGACGAUCCUUAGCUGGUCUGAGAGGAUGAUCAGCCACACUGGGACUGAGACACGGCCCAGACUCCUACGGGAGGCAGCAGUGGGGAAUAUUGGACAAUGGGCGAAAGCCUGAUCCAGCGAUGCCGCGUGAGUGAUGAAGGCCCUAGGGCUGUAAAGCUCUUUUACCCGGGAUGAUAAUGUCAGUACCGGGAGAAUAAGCCCCGGCUAACUCCGUGCCAGCCGCCGCGGUAACAC